rnacentral:rRNA from 1 species
AGUGAACGCUGGCGGCAGGCCUAACACAUGCAAGUCGAGCGGCAGCGGGCCCUUCGGGAUGCCGGCGAGCGGCGGACGGGUGAGGAAUACAUCGGAAUCUGCCCUGUCGUGGGGGAUAACCUAGGGAAACUUAGGCUAAUACCGCAUACGACCUACGGGUGAAAGCGGGGGAUCGCAAGACCUCGCGCGACAGGAUGAGCCGAUGUCCGAUUAGCUAGUUGGCGGGGUAAAGGCCCACCAAGGCGACGAUCGGUAGCUGGUCUGAGAGGAUGAUCAGCCACACUGGGACUGAGACACGGCCCAGACUCCUACGGGAGGCAGCAGUGGGGAAUAUUGGACAAUGGGCGCAAGCCUGAUCCAGCCAUGCCGCGUGGGUGAAGAAGGCCUUCGGGUUGUAAAGCCCUUUUGUCCGGGAAGAAAUCGUCUGGGCUAAUACCCCGGGCGGAUGACGGUACCGGAAGAAUAAGCACCGGCUAACUUCGUG